GUCACCAUACGCCUAUUUUUUCCUCGGUUUGUCUCACCCGUGAACAACCAACUUUAUAGAAGAAGAAAACACUCGACACAUAAAAUGAAAGACCUUAUAGAAUAUGGAAGUGUUCCUUGCUCCAGCAACAUUGCCGACAUAUGCAUCUCCUCAUUUCCUCAAGCAACAGCCAACCAUGGCGCUUCUCCAUUUCUGAAGCAAGUUAAUAUGAUAGAAUCAGGAAUAAAUCUAUACUUAUCUCCAUUUCUGAAGCAAGUUAAUCUGAAUGAUAUUUGAGGCUAGUAUGGGCCGGAGUGACAUAUAUGACUGAGAUAAUGUAACAAAACUAUGCAUAUUCAUGUGGAUCACGAAAUAGAUCAGAAGCUCGUAUUUCAAUAUCAGCGAAUGGACGUGCAAAUUUUGUGCAGAGUCGCGUUUGGUUCUGCAAGAUCUAAAGGGAAAAAAAUACAGUGAGAGGCUCACGCUGCUGCUGCAGGCUAACGUACCUUGAGGAGGCACUGGAUUCGGG
rnacentral:lncRNA from 1 species